UUCAUUUUCGGUUGUUUAUUAUUAGUUAUUUAGUUAUAUCAAUUUUUUCUUUCGAACUAUAAUAAUAUCAUUAGUUUUUACUGUAUAGCCAAGUCUGUUUGAAAGGAGAUUACAAAACCCGUACUGAUUAAUAUAAUCGCGAAAUUAUAUUAUGCAGCUUAUUAUUGAUAUUUUCGUAAACACAAUAAUAUAGUUAAUAGUGUAGUUGCGUGUACCUAUUUUGGAAAUUUAGUAUUUUAAGAUUCUCGAUUCCCGGAAUUUUAUGUUUGUGAUAAAUAUUUAGGUAUAUUUAUUAAAUUUGAUCCACUAUUCUAAAGCCGCUUACGAAAUCUACAACAUAAUAUAAUAUUGUGUGCGAAGUGUUCAAUUUUCAAUUCGAAAUUUUUCCGAUCGACAAUCCCCUUCUUUAUAAAAUAAUAUUGUUAUGUUCGCAGCCCGCAAGCCCCCGAAUUUCGUUAAAAUUGCAAUGUGAAUGUUGUUGUGUUUUCUCACAGCCGGGGCUGCAUGCUCGCAUUAUUGUUGUCACCCCUGAUGGAAAAAAAAACGGUUAAUCAUAUAAUGGAUAUUGGCUGGUAUAGAAGAGUGACGGCGGCGGAUAGGACCGAAAACGACCUACACCACCGCCGCUGACUACUGUGCGUACGCACGGGGACCAUUGUUAAAAUUCUUACCCUAGGUUAGUUGUUCACCCUUACCCAUGGGCGUUGGCGCCGUAUGGUAUGAUAUGCGCUCGUCGUUGAGAGGGGGUGUCCCUUCGGUUUCUACGGUCCCCCUCCACCCCUUUCCAAUGUCGUUCGUUACCGGCUAGCAACGCCGCACACCGUACGUCCGUACCGCGCAUACGCAUCAGAGUACGCACAGCUCUCGGACCUCGGUUGCCGGCAGUUCGGUUCUUGUCUCGGUCUGCGUCCCUUGCGAUUCGAUCCGAUCCGAUCCGAUAACUUCGUUUUUUUUUGUUUUAAACUUAAUAUUUAUCCAUCGGUUUUCAGUUUGUUUUGUGUAUCAUUUUAUUUUUUAACUCACCUCCCAUCCGCGUUUAUGGUGUAAAACCAUUCGUCAAGGAAACAUAGAAAGCAGUUGAAGCUGUACCAAUCGUUGAUGAAAGAAGUAGGAGUUAAGUCAAACCAAAGUAUUGGACAGUAUUGGACAUUGGUUAUAAAAUCUCAAUAUACAUUUUGUUAUGUUGUACAAUUUGUGAAUAAUUAAUUUUUGGUAUCAGAUUAGCAGCUAUCUGCCACUUCUUUAUUGUGAAUUCUGAUUGCUAUACUCAAUUCAGUCAAACCACUCGGCCGACCAAAUCACGUUUUUCGGUGCAUGCUUACCACAAUUCGGACUCCAGUGAAAGCGUUAGCACAGAAGACUGUCGUUCAAUCACAGAACGCAUAAUCAUCGCAUGGGGGGAUUCAGGCAGUGUUUGACGGCCAAUCUGCAUGCGUGUAAGGGGUUCAAUUGUAACUUCAACAAAGUACUUCUUUCCUUUUAAUUAUUGAUUUCAAAUUGAAAAGAGUAUCCAUGUUAUGAUUUGGAUUUUAUGUAAUUGAUCUUUAUGUAACAAUUUAUAUGAUUUAACUUACCAGCGUGUAUAGUAUCUGUCAUACUAACAUAUAAGAUUCAUUUGUAUAAAUACCAAAAUAUAUGUUCAGUAGUUCCAAUUUUGUGUUGUUGAUUCAAAACUGAAUCUGCUGAACAAAAAUUGUGUAGGUAUAUUGUCUAUUUGUGAGACAAGACAACUUGCGAUUGUGGCGUCCCCUUAACGUUUCCAUAUUUGUAAACUGGUGGUUAAUUAGUUUAUUAUAGUCAUGGCCGUAUACGGGAUAUGCAGGUUAUACACUUGCAUAAUAUGCAAUGCAUACCCUGUUGGCCUGGGGCAGAAACUUUUUAGAGGGCAUAAUAUGAACUAAGUCCCUAAAUAAAAUUUUUUGAAAAAAAAAAUAACAAAAUUUGUAGGUACAAUCUGUUCACGGAUUUUAUAUAUUUAUUUGACAAGUUAUUUUACGUUAUUGUAAAAAUAUAAUGAUCUUAUUUUUCAUCUUAAAAUUUUUUUUAUUAUAUAUGUUCUAAAUGAACGGUUAAAAAAGUAGUUAGUCAAGUCAAUAGGAAGUGUCAUUACUGGAUUGCUUCUUCCAACUUCAAAUUUUUCUAAUGUCACUGUAAUUUAGCUUUAGCCCAUAUUCUUAUUGUGCCUCAGGGUAGGUACAGAUUGUAUAAUAUUUCUUAUAUAUAUAUAAAAAAAAAAUUAUU